rnacentral:rRNA from 1 species
GACAGAGGGUGCAAACGUUGUUCGGAAUUACUGGGCGUAAAGGGCGCGUAGGCGGCGCGGUAAGUCACUUGUGAAAUCUCUGAGCUUAACUCAGAACGGCCAAGUGAUACUGCAGUGCUAGAGUGCAGAAAGGGCAAUCGGAAUUCUUGGUGUAGCGGUGAAAUGCGUAGAUAUCAAGAGGAACACCUGAGGCGAAGGCGGGUUGCUAGGCUGACACUGACGCUGAGGCGCGAAAGCCAGGGGAGCGAACGGG